rnacentral:rRNA from 1 species
CCUACGGGAGGCAGCAGUGAGGAAUAUUGGUCAAUGGACGAGAGUCUGAACCAGCCAAGUAGCGUGAAGGAUGACUGCCCUAUGGGUUGUAAACUUCUUUUAUAUGGGAAUAAAAUGUUCCACGUGUGGGAUUUUGUAUGUACCAUAUGAAUAAGGAUCGGCUAACUCCGUGCCAGCAGCCGCGGUAAUACGGAGGAUCCGAGCGUUAUCCGGAUUUAUUGGGUUUAAAGGGAGCGUAGGCGGAUUGUUAAGUCAGUUGUGAAAGUUUGCGGCUCAACCGUAAAAUUGCAGUUGAAACUGGCAGUCUUGAGUACAGUAGAGGUGGGCGGAAUUCGUGGUGUAGCGGUGAAAUGCUUAGAUAUCACGAAGAACUCCGAUUGCGAAGGCAGUUCACUGGACUGCAACUGACACUGAGGCUCGAAAGUGUGGGUAUCAAACAGGAUUAGAUACCCGAGUAGUC